rnacentral:rRNA from 1 species
AGGACGAACGCUGGCGGCGUGCUUAACACAUGCAAGUCGAGCGGAAAGGCCCUUCGGGGUACUCGAGCGGCGAACGGGUGAGUAACACGUGAGUAAUCUGCCCCUAGCUCUGGGAUAGCUCCGGGAAACCGGGAUUAAUACCAGAUACGACCACUUUAGACAUCUGUUGUGGUGGAAAGAAUUUUGGCUAGGGAUGAGCUCGCGGCCUAUCAGCUUGUUGGUGAGGUAACGGCUCACCGAGGCGACGACGGGUA